GAUGAAGAACGUAGCGAAAUGCGAUAAGUAAUGUGAAUUGCAGAAUUCCGUGAAUCAUCGAAUCUUUGAACGCACAUUGCGCCCCCUGGUAUUCCGGGGGGCAUGCCUGUCCGAGCGUCAUUGCUGCCCUCAAGCACGGCUUGUGUGUUGGGCCCCGUCCUCCGAUCCCGGGGGACGGGCCCGAAAGGCAGCGGCGGCACCGCGUCCGGUCCUCGAGCGUAUGGGGCUUUGUCACCCGCUCUGUAGGCCCGGCCGGCGCUUGCCGAUCAACCCAAAUUUUUAUCCAGGUUGACCUCGCAUCAGGUAGGGAUACCCGCUGAACUUAAGCAUAUCAAUAAGCGGAGGA
rnacentral:misc_RNA from 1 species